AUUGAACGCUGGCGGCAGGCCUAACACAUGCAAGUCGAGCGGAUGAAGGGAGCUUGCUCCUGGAUUCAGCGGCGGACGGGUGAGUAAUGCCUAGGAAUCUGCCUGGUAGUGGGGGAUAACGUCCGGAAACGGGCGCUAAUACCGCAUACGUCCUGAGGGAGAAAGUGGGGGAUCUUCGGACCUCACGCUAUCAGAUGAGCCUAGGUCGGAUUAGCUAGUUGGUGGGGUAAAGGCCUACCAAGGCGACGAUCCGUAACUGGUCUGAGAGGAUGAUCAGUCACACUGGAACUGAGACACGGUCCAGACUCCUACGGGAGGCAGCAGUGGGGAAUAUUGGACAAUGGGCGAAAGCCUGCUCCAGCCAGGCAGCGUGUGUGAAGAAGGUCUUCGGAUUGUAAAGCACUUUAAGUUGGGAGGAAGGGCAGUAAGUUAAUACCUUGCUGUUUUGACGUUACCAACAGAAUAAGCACCGGCUAACUUCGUG
rnacentral:rRNA from 1 species